UACGAAGGGGGCUAGCGUUGCUCGGAAUCACUGGGCGUAAAGCGCACGUAGGCGGAUUGUUAGGUCAGGGGUGAAAUCCUGGAGCUCAACUCCAGAACUGCCUUUGAUACUGGCGAUCUUGAGUCCGGGAGAGGUGAGUGGAACUGCGAGUGUAGAGGUGAAAUUCGUAGAUAUUCGCAAGAACACCAGUGGCGAAGGCGGCUCACUGGCCCGGUACUGACGCUGAGGUGCGAAAGCGUGGGGAGCAAACAGG
rnacentral:rRNA from 1 species